AAAGGAAUAGACGGGGGCCCGCACAAGCAGCGGAGCGUGUGGUUUAAUUCGAUGCUACGCGAAGAACCUUACCCGGGUUUGACAUACAGGUAGUAGGGAACUGAAAAGGGACCGACCCUUCGGGGAGCCUGAACAGGUGCUGCAUGGCUGUCGUCAGCUCGUGUCGUGAGAUGUCCGGUUAAGUCCGGUAACGAGCGCAACCCUUGCCGUAUGUUACAAGUGUCAUACGGGACUGCCGGUAUCAAGCCGGAGGAAGGUGGGGAUGACGUCAAGUCAGCAUGGCCUUUAUAUCCGGGGCUACACACACGCUACAAUGGUCAGUACAACAGGUUGCAAAGCCGCGAGGUGGAGCCAAUCCCCAAAGCUGGCCUCAGUUCAGAUUGCAGGCUGCAACUCGCCUGCAUGAAGUAGGAGUUGCUAGUAACCGCGCGUCAGCCAUAGUGCGGUGAAUACGUUCCCGGGCCUUGUACACACCGCCCGU
rnacentral:rRNA from 1 species